rnacentral:rRNA from 1 species
UACGUAGGCAGCAAGCGUUGUUCGGAAUUACUGGGCGUAAAGAGUGUGUAGGCGGUGCUGUAAGUUUGGUGUGAAAUCUCCCGGCUUAACUGGGAGGGUGCGCCGGAUACUGAGGGACUAGAGUGCGGGAGAGGAAAGUGGAAUUCCUGGUGUAGCGGUGAAAUGCGUAGAUAUCAGGAGGAACACCGGUGGUGUAAACGGCUUUCUGGACCGUAACUGACGCUGAGGCACGAAAGCGUGGGUAGCAAACAGG